AGAACGAACGCUGGCGGCAUGCCUAAUACAUGCAAGUCGAACGAACUCUUCGGAGUUAGUGGCGCACGGGUGCGUAACGCGUGGGAAUCUGCCCCUUGGUUCGGAAUAACAGUUGGAAACGACUGCUAAUACCGGAUGAUGACGAAAGUCCAAAGAUUUAUCGCCAAGGGAUGAGCCCGCGUAGGAUUAGCUAGUUGGUGAGGUAAGGCUCACCAAGGCAACGAUCCUUAGCUGGUCUGAGAGGAUGAUCAGCCACACUGGGACUGAGACACGGCCAGACUCCGUACGGGAGGCAGCAGUAGGGAACUAUUGGACAAGUGGGACGAAAGCCUAGGAUCCAGCAA
rnacentral:rRNA from 1 species